CUGUCAGGAUGGCCGAGUGGUCUAAGGCGCCAGACUCAAGUUCUCGUCUUCGAGAGAGGUCGUGGGUUCAAAUCCCACUUCUGACAA
rnacentral:tRNA from 1 species